rnacentral:rRNA from 1 species
GAUGAACGCUGGCGGCGUGCCUAAUACAUGCAAGUCGAGCGAACAGACGAGGAGCUUGCUCCUCUGACGUUAGCGGCGGACGGGUGAGUAACACGUGGAUAACCUACCUAUAAGACUGGGAUAACUUCGGGAAACCGGAGCUAAUACCGGAUAAUAUAUUGAACCGCAUGGUUCAAUAGUGAAAGACGGUUUUGCUGUCACUUAUAGAUGGAUCCGCGCCGCAUUAGCUAGUUGGUAAGGUAACGGCUUACCAAGGCAACGAUGCGUAGCCGACCUGAGAGGGUGAUCGGCCACACUGGAACUGAGACACGGUCCCGACUCCUACGGGAGGCAGCAGUAGGGAAUCUUUCGCAAUGGGCGAAAGCCUGACGGAGCAACGCCGCGUGAGUGAUGAAGGUCUUCGGAUCGUAAAACUCUGUUAUUAGGGAAGAACAAAUGUGUAAGUAACUAUGCACGUCUUGACGGUACCUAAUCAGAAAGCCACGGCUAACUACGUG